UGCGCACUGGUGAUUAUUACCGUGACACACACGCACACUGUCGUCAAAUUUUGCAAUUACAGUUACUUUUUUUUCAAAACGUGUUUAUGUAUUUGCUUACUUCAUUGACUGUGAAAACAAUUUCUUGUACUUUAAUAAAAAAAAUAAUAACGCCGGCGAUAAACAAACUCUCUGAAGAUUUCAGGAGAUUCUUCGAAGGCGAUUCAGCAAGCUUGUACUUGGGGUCUAGGAAUUAAGACUGCUCCGAUGACACUCAGAGUUUAAACCUCAUCCCGUCUUCUCUGCCCUCCGACAGCGCGUCCGUGGCAUCAGACUAUCAGGACGAAGGCUUUCCUGAAAAUUGGAAAGGAGCGCAUUCAGAUUCCUACCAGAUAACGCCUGAAUGAAGCCAAGAACACAGGACACAGCUCCCCGUUUACAAAAAGCCCAGAUUUAAAUGAAAGGAGAAUUAAUCAAACCAACCAAGCUUCAGCAAAUAGUUAAAUUCCAUCUUUAGUGAACAACAGAAGCUGCCAUGCUUCUGCAUAGCUCCCUCUUUGCCAGCCUCCUCUGUUAUUUUUUUCCCCCCGAAUUCUGCAAAAUAAUUAUCUCGGUUUGAAUAAAGUUACCCAAAUCAUACAAGUAGUUUAUGCAAAUUUCUUUUUUUUUUUUUGUCCAAACGAAGCAAGUUAUAGAAAGAACUGCUGUAUUUGAGCUGAAUUAUUUUCCUUCGGUUUUUUAGUUCUUGAACAAUGUGGUAAUAAUUAACAAUAAUUAUAACUGCAUGACACAAUGUAAUGAAGUAAUAUUCCCCGGUAAAACAGAGUUUUCUAAAGAUCUUUCUUUCUUUCUUUCUUUCUUUCUUUCUUUCUUUCUUUCUUUCUUUCAGACAGUCAGUAGAUACUGUGGUUGUCUUAGUUCUCCUAAGUAUUUGUCUUACGGCUAAAACACAAUAAAAAAAAUAAAAUAAGGUACAUAAAUAAAUAGAAAAAUAAUCUUUUAAUGGUGCGAGUUAAAUUCGGACCCUGUGCAUCCUAUUGCAAUCUAAGCAGAGAGAGAGGUCAAGAUUUCAAACGAAACAGCUAGGGUAACCCUCGUCUAAAUGACCCACCAGUCUGGGGGGUGCACAGGGGUACAACUGAAAUCUGGUUCAAAGGUAUUUACAACUUCACAGCCAGAGAAAGAAUAAACGAGAAUCAGAGUUUUAUUGCCUCUCUGUCCUUAUCCCUACCCCCACAAGCCCACCUCCCACCCUCAGCUCAGAACUUCAAUAGAAACCAACUCAAAGUUUUAAAAUCAUUUCAGAACAUCACUGCAUAACAUAAGACAAUGCAUUCUAAAGGAACUGCUGCUGUGUUGUGAUAAUCCCUUGCAAAGCAUUGCUAAGAAGUAAUGUCAUUCGAAAAGCAACAUCUUAAAUUGUAAAUUAAAAAAUCUGUCCGUAACACAAAAUUAGAAAGAAGCAACAUGCAUGCAUUUAGGAUCCCUUCAGCGAGCAUGCUAAUUAACUUUGAAACUUGGAUAUUUCUUUUAUAUUUCAUUUAGAAAAUCAAAUUGUGCAAAGAUAUAUAAGCUUUUUGCUGUCCCUUACAAGUGUUAUUAAUGCAAGAAUCAUAUUUGUUUGCAACGAACCUUAGAAUAAAAAAAAAGCUUUCAAAAUAUAUAUUUUUAUAAAGUAAAAUUUGCUUUUUAACAUAACAUUCUGUUUUCUGUUAUUGUUUUGUUUAAGACAUUGGGAAAUGACUUCUCUUUUGUUGAGUCAUGACUUUAUCUAAUUGCCUUUCCAAUAAUACGUGCUAUAUUUGUAUUUUUGUUUAUUCCAAAUGCCAGCAAGACAAAAAAAAAUUAGCAUUAUUUAAUAACUGAAUACCCGAUAGCAGCUCUCCCAAAUUGACCUUUAUUUGCAGAACAGAAAGAAUUUGAUUUAACUGUGCUGUCAUGUAAAUAAUGUACCCUCGAAUACUGUCGGUAUU